GAACUACAUACAGUGUAGGUUAAUCAACCAAUGAGUAUUUUAAUCACUGGUCUAUAAGAAGUAAUCACCAUCAACAUAGCAAAAAAGUGACAGGAUCUGACAGUUAUUAAAAAUAAUUAUUCAUAAAGGCGAAAUGGUUAGACAGGUGUAAAGUAAUGUAUAAAACUUAAUCACCUUUUCGUCAUACACCUCAUAAAAUCGACAUCUUCGAUAUUUUAAAAGUAAACAUAGAUAAGAAAAGGAUACUAGUAUUAGAUAGAUUUUUACGACCUCACAAAACAUUUUAUUUGUUAGUGUACCUAUGUGUAAACGUUUUGCUUCAUAUCGAUGGUUUUUUCACGAUUUCACUUAUGAUGAAAUUUCCAAUAAUUGUAUUUUUUGUUGUCUUUUGCUGUGGGCUUUCGAAAUCUUCAAUAUGUAGCAUAAACGAUUCGAAAAUUUUCUGUGCAGGCAUGGAAGAAACUGAUUUUUAUUCGAAUAUGAUUGUUACCAUUGCAUCACAAGACAUAGUUGAUUUGUCAAUAACCAAUUCUUCAAUUAGCGGUUUGAACUCAGCAAUGUUUCAGAAGUACCAAUACGUACAAACCCUCUCUAUAACACACACUAAACUUAAAUAUAUAAAAGAAAGAACUUUUCAUAGCCUAGAUAACUUACAAGUUUUGAAUUUGUCGCAUAAUUGUAUAGACAGUUUUAAUUUUAAGGCAUUAUCAAGUAUAGGCAACUUAACUUCAUUAGAUCUUUCAUAUAAUAAGUUAGAGUCUAUAUAUAAUUUUAAUUUAAACUCAUUUAAUUCACUAGUUCUUAACAUCUCAGACAACAAAAUGACAAACUUAGAACCAGAAUUUAUUCAGAAACUUAACAUGAGCAAUGAUUUUUAUAUAAUAAUAAACAAUAACCCUUGGAACUGCAGUGAAAGUAAAUGGCAGAAAUAUUUAAGUCCGGCCUUAUUACUUGCCUUUUGUUUGUACCCACAAGAUAGUAGAGAGAAUGAUGAACAAACAUAUUAUAAAAACGCCGUAUUUCAAGCCGUGGAAGAUAAUACAAGCCGUGUUUUUCCAACACAAGAGGAAAAUAAUAUUGUAGUGCAAUUCUUGGAAGAGAAUACGACGCGUAUUCAAAUGCCACAGAACAAUACAAUUAAUUGUAAUUACCUAAAAAAUUGUGCCUCGUAUUGCGUAUAUUGGUGUUUAGGAGGUGUAUGGAUUGGCAUUAUUUUAGGAAAUAUUUGUACAAUCAAACGAUUAAUUUUUUCGUCUGCAAACACUCAGGAUCAGGAAACUCAGCAACGACUAUACUGUGUUGAUGGUUGACGUCACUGUAAAAAAAUGAAAAUGAUACAAGAAGUAUUCUAAAGCACAAUACUAUUUAUAAAGGAAUAAAAUUUGAACUUGAAGACUGAUGAAGAAUAAAAUUUGAUUGUUUAGUUGUUAAGAAAAUAUAAUUUUAUAAUUAUAACUUUUGUUAAAAAAUGUUAAAUAAAUUGGUUAACCUAAAAA